rnacentral:lncRNA from 12 species
AUGGGAACAGCUCGGCAGCCCUGUGCUAGGCGGUGUGUUCCAUCUAUUUCUAUGGCACCUAUCACCAUGGCACCUACUUGCUCUGAAAAACACAGGCUAAAAACAGAACAUCAGGAGAGGGGGGCAAAAUCCACUUCUCUGCAGUCACCUUCCGCAGCUGCUGUUAGACCUAGGGCUGCUCAUGCCGACCUCGGCGUUCCCAGUUUCUGUGUGUUUGUUGUGGGUGGCCUUAAAGGACAACAGGCUGGCUCCCUGCACCACAUCCUGCAUCCUCUCGGGGUGGCGGGACCUGAGGCUCUAGGGAGUUUGCGCCCCACUCACUGCAGAGGUAUGAGCAGGGUCCCCACCUCCAGACGCCCACAGUCAUCAGUGUGCCCGGGCAUGACAAACAAGCUCACACUCCACAGCAGGAGUCACUGCGCAGCAGGGUCAUCAGCUGGCACUUGCUGGGACACACAGGAUGGUGAGGUUCUCAUGAACUGAAGGAAAUCCCAACUCCGUUCCCUGCUGUGGGCUCUUGGAGUCAAGCAGCCCUGGGGACUCAACCUUCCCUCUGCCUACCUAUUGACCAAGUGACUCAACUUCACCUCCCUUUCCUUCCCCAUUCGUGAAAUGGGGUCAUGCCUCCUGUCACAGAAGGUGGUUGGGGCAUUUGGGGGGGGGGCAUGCAGGAAGAGCCUCCAGCCCAGAGCCAGCACUUAGUGGGCUCUAAUCCCCCCACUGAAUGUCUUAAAGUGGAGUAAAUACUCUUUUUAGUGAAUUAAGGGUUGGCCUUUAUAAUAGAAGGAAACAGGCGUGUUUCCUGAAUUUGCUGAGAUGCUGGUAAAUGCUGGUAAAUGCUGAAACUCCCAGAUUCACACCAGGCGGGGGAGGGGGCUGGGGUUGGCAUGCCCCCCUCCCGGGGCCUCCACGGCCCUUUCUCACCACCCCCUCUCAAGAACGCUCUGCCAAACUAGACAGUGGGCUUGUGCUCACACACUGCUUACUAGUUCCUUUUUUUGUGUUUUCUUUUAAGAUUUAUUUAUUCACUUGAGAGAGAGAGAGAGGAGGAGCGGAUGGAGAAAAUCUUCAAGCCUACUCCCCACGGAGCACAGAGCCCCAUGCAGGGCUCCAUCUCAUGACCCCAAGAUCAUGACCUGAGCCCAAAAAAAGAGUUAGACAUUUAACAGACUGAGCCCCCCCAGGUGCCUCUACUCAUUCCUUUUUAUUUUAUAAAAGUAUUUCCCCUGUUGUAAGCAUUGUGGCCAUCUCCCUGCCAAAUCCCAUCCCCACCCCCAAGAGGGCCCACUUUCCACUUGAGGGUUCAUGGGCUUCUAAGAAAGUGCUCUACUCCAAGGUGCUGGGGACUGAGCUGUGGUCUGAACCAAGCCAAUCACAUAAUUCUAUCCCCUGCGUGCCAGGACGGGUUCAUGUGGCCUCAGUGGGUCCAAUCAGAACGUCCCUUGGGAGGUCCUCUGAAUGAGGAACAGAAGGUCCAGCAGGGGCUGUAGAUGUGAGGCCUGGAUGACUCUAGCCAUUCGAUGGUCAUAAGCAAGGCCAGCCUAUGAGCAAAGCUGAUGCAUGAAGGGGGACAGCCAAAGCACCGCCAGGACCUGGAGCUGGUGCCACGAUGGCUUUAGAACACCUAGAUCAAACUGAUUCUUUGCCCCUCGGACUUUCUUGGGCCUGGGAGUCAAUGCAUUCCACUCCCGUUUAAACUGAUUUGAGUUGGGUUUCCCACCAUGCGAGAAAAAUGCACCAGGAACAUGAUUUCCUCUUUAGAGUUCCAAAGCCCCCGUCACGUUCAGACCUCUGUUCCAACGUUAGGUCUUGAAGAAAGCUCACCUAAUGCUAUUACCUCCUUCCCCCUUGGCUCCUGUGUGCUGCUUAUUUAAAACUCAACCACGCGUGCCAGCCUCACAAUAAAACCGGUAGUGUCUCUAAUUCCCCA